AUAUAUACAUACACACACACACACACACACACACACACACACACACACACACACACACACACAGAGAUGCACCCUAGGCGUGUCUGCUGUAGAGGAGAAGGGAGAUAGGAAAGAGGAGAGAGGAGGGAGGGUGCAUCUGUUACGGACCAUGACACUGAAAAUAUGAGUUGAUGUAGAAUAGGUGAUGCAGAGAGAGAGAGAGGGGGGGGGGGAGAGAGCGAUGAAGAGGAAAUGAGAGAGUGGGAGACAAAGAGUUCAGCUUGCUAAGCCCCAACAUCACAGCCCAGCUGACUUCUCCUCUCAGUCUUUUGAAAGGCACUAGAUCACAUAGAAUGUGCCUUUAAUCCCCAGCCUGACUCACAGGAGUUCAGAAAUGGAUUUAGAUGUCUUCGAGGGCUGCACCAUUAUGACAAAAAUAAUAAUUAUUAUUUUGCCAGAUAUUUGUGAUUUUGGUUCAUUGUGAAGAGCAGAUUUUCAAUUAAAUAAAUAAUCAGUUGCUAUUGUAUGCAAAUAUUAUAAUAAUGAAGCAAUUGCUUAGUUGUAACAGUUUACAAAGUCAUUUACGGCCAUACAAAAACAAAUUUCUAAUUAUUAUUUUAUCCAAAUUGCGACCUUUCACAAUUUCUUAAUUGCAGAGCCCAAAUAUGCAAUUUAUUAUUAAACCCAACUGCCAUUCACAUCAGAUGAAUCACCAAUACAUUCUUGAACUAAUCUCUGUGUUAUGUAUUUCCUUUGAGAUGUAGAUCUGUGUUUUAAUGUAGGAUAUGUAGCAUGACGUUACCUUAAACGAUGCAAAUAGGUGCACACCAGUAUCCCUGUCUCUGUCUUUGUCUGUUCUGUGCAUCGUCACAGAGAAGCAUCGUUAGAGGAGAUGAGAGGAGAGGGAGGUAGAGGAGAGGAGAGGAAGCUAGAGGAGAGGAGAGGAGAGGAGAGGAGAAGAGAGCAGAGGAGAGGAAGGUAGAGGAGAGGAGAGGAGAGGAGAGGAAGGUAGAGGAGAAGAGAGGAAGGUAGAGGAGAGGAGAGGGGAGAGGAGAGGAGAGGAAGCUAGAGGAGAGGAAGGUAGAGGAGAGGAAGGUAGAGGAGAGGAGAGGGGAGAGGAGAGGAGAGGAGAGGAGGAAUAUAAGAGAGAGGAAACAAGAAAAUAAUGUAUUGUAUUAUUUUACCAUUUUUAGAAGUGUAUAUAAUCGUCUCCUCUCUAGAGACAAUAAUAAUCCUAUAAUAAUACAAUUUGGUCAUUAUUUUCUUGUAGGAGGAGGAGGAUAAGGGAGAUCGAAAGAAAAGGAAUGGGAGAGGAUGGGAGAAGGGGGAAUCCGUGGUUAAACUGGAGAUGUCGUGAUAGUAGUGGUGGAGAUCGGAGGAGAGGAAACAAGGAGAAGGCAGACGAGGAGGGAGGAGAUGUAGGGGAACAGAGCGACGUGAAAGGGAACCUUGGGGCGCAAAUGAAUCUCGUAUUGACACCCUCUUCUGCACACAAACGUAUUCACACAUGCAAUGACGUAACCCUGCACGUACAUGUGUGUGCGUGCGUCGAUGCAUGCAGCCAUACUCCCCUCUACUAUAUGCGCCUUUGUGUGUGUGUGUGUGUGUGUCUAUGCAUUUCCUGUGUGUGUGUGUGUGUGUGUGUGUGUGUGUGUGUGUGUGUGGGUAUUGGCUGUGAUCGACUGGCGUGGCUUGGUGAGGCACGGUGUGUAGAUCCAUCCCUCUUUCUGAGUGCUCUCUGAAAUAGCCUCAGUCACCAGAGAGUAAGAGAGAUAGACCUGUGUGUGCGUGCGUGCAUGUGUGCGUGAGUUUUCUCUGUGUUAGAGAGGUGGAAGGGAGCAAAAGGGAGGAGACUAGCAAGGGUGGGGUGAACAAAUGUAGAGGAGAGAGAGAGAGAGAGAGAGAGAGAGAGAGAGAGAGAGAGAGAGAGAGAGAGAGAGAGAGAGAGAGAGAGAGAGAGAGAGAGAGAGAGAGAGGAGAGAGGAGAGAGAGAGAGAGAGAGAGAUGAGAGAGAGAGAGAGAGAGAGAGAGAGAGAGAGGGGGGGGGCUGUGUUACUAGAGGGAGUGGCAGAGUGAGAAGAGGCGAUACAGAGAGAGAGAGAGAGAGAGAGAAGACACGGCUCCGGUAGCUCAGUCGUUGUUGAUCGUCGGAUAAAGCAGACAUUGCAGUGGGAGCAGCGGCAAGCGAAGGGAAACCAAGAGAGA